rnacentral:rRNA from 1 species
UAGUCUCGCACAGAUGCAUAUCAAUAAGCGGAGGAAAAGAAACUAACAAGGAUUCCCUUAGUAACGGCGAGUGAAGCGGGAAGAGCUCAAAUUUGAAAUCUUCAAGGUUUUACCUUGACGAAUUGUAGUUUAAAGAAGUGUUUUCUGUUGAAGUUUUGGUAAAAGUUCUUUGGAAUAGGACAUCAUAGAGGGUGAGAAUCCCGUAUUUGACCAUUAUUUUCAGCUGUGUGAUACACUUUCAAAGAGUCGGAUUGUUUGGGAAUGCAGUCCAAAAUGGGUGGUAAAUUUCAUCUAAAGCUAAAUAUUGGCGAGAGACCGAUAGCGAACAAGUACCGUGAGGGAAAGAUGAAAAGAACUUUGAAAAGAGAGUUAAACAGUACGUGAAAUUGUCAAAAGGGAAGCGUUUGACACCAGUGUUGUUUUCUCGAAAAUCAAUUAAAAAGAGUUAGAUUUUGUUGUGUAUUGACCUUAACAGCUUGCAUUUCAAUUUUCUUGCUUUUUUUAAUGCACUUUUCGUUUAACAAGUCAACAUCAGUUACUUUUGUUGUAAAAAGGUCAUUGGAAGGUGGCUUUCUUUUCGGAGAAAGUGUUUAUAGCCUUUGACUCCUGCAAUCGGAGAGACUGAGGUCUGCAGCGUAGAUCCUUCGGGGUUAGAUACAUUUGUGCUAAGUUAUAGCUUUUUAUAGACAACUUGUUGACUAUGAUUAGUCUUGUAGCUUACUCGCUUAUGCUAUUACCUACGCUUAGGAUGUUGAAGAUGUAGCACAUCAU